CCAGACUCCUACGGGAGGCAGCAGUGGGGAAUAUUGCACAAUGGGGGGAACCCUGAUGCAGCGACGCCGCGUGGGUGAAGGAGUACUUCGGGACGUAAAGCCCUAUCAGCAGGAAAGAAAAUGACGGUACCUGACUAAGAAGCCCCGGCUAACUACGUGCCAGCAGCCGCGGUAAUACGUAGGGGGCAAGCGUUAUCCGGAUUUACUGGGUGUAAAGGGAGCGUAGACGGCAGUGCAAGUCCGGAGUGAAAGCCCGGGGCUCAACCCUGGGACUGCUCUGGAAACUGCGUCGCUGGAGUACGGGAGGGGCAGGCGGAAUUCCUGGUGUAGCGGUGAAAUGCGUAGAUAUCAGGAGGAACACCGGCGGCGAAGGCGGCCUGCUGGACCGUGACUGACGUUGAGGCUCGAGAGCGUGGGGAGCAAACAGGAUUAGAUACCCCGGUAUG
rnacentral:rRNA from 1 species